AAACCAUGCUGUGGACACUUCCAUAAGAGGUCCUUGAAUCAAUCCCAUGUCUCAAACAAGGAUUCAACCUCCAUCUAAUCAAAUGACGAUAUUUCAUUACGAAGCUU